rnacentral:rRNA from 1 species
AGCUGGAGCUUGCUCCGGCCGAUUAGUGGCGAACGGGUGAGUAACACGUGAGCAAUCUGCCCUUGACUCUGGGAUAACUGCGGGAAACUGUAGCUAAUACCGGAUACUUUCCUCGCUGGGCAUCCAGCGGGGAAGAAAGAAUUUCGGUCAAGGAUGAGCUCGCGGCCUAUCAGCUAGUUGGUGAGGUAAAGGCUCACCAAGGCGACGACGGGUAGCCGGCCUGAGAGGGUGACCGGCCACACUGGAACUGAGACACGGUCCAGACUCCUACGGGAGGCAGCAGUGGGGAAUAUUGCACAAUGGGCGAAAGCCUGAUGCAGCAACGCCGCGUGAGGGAUGAAGGCCUUCGGGUUGUAAACCUCUUUUAGCAGGGAAGAAGCGAAAGUGACGGUACCUGCAGAAAAAGCACCGGCUAACUACGUGCCAGCAGCCGCGGUAAUACGUAGGGUGCAAGCGUUGUCCGGAAUUAUUGGGCGUAAAGAGCUCGUAGGCGGUUUGUCACGUCUGCUGUGAAAAUCCGAGGCUCAACCUCGGACUUGCAGUGGGUACGGGCAGGCUAGAGUGCGGUAGGGGAGAAGGGAAUUCCUGGUGUAGCGGUGGAAUGCGCAGAUAUCAGGAGGAACACCAAUGGCGAAGGCACUUCUCUGGGCCGUAACUGACGCUGAGGAGCGAAAGCGUGGGGAGCGAACAGGAUUAGAUACCCUGGUAGUCCACGCCGUAAA